rnacentral:rRNA from 1 species
UGGGGAAUAUUGGACAAUGGGCGAGAGCCUGAUCCAGCCAUGCCGCGUGUGUGAAGAAGGUCUUCGGAUUGUAAAGCACUUUAAGUUGGGAGGAAGGGCAGUAAGCGAAUACCUUGCUGUUUUGACGUUACCGACAGAAUAAGCACCGGCUAACUCUGUGCCAGCAGCCGCGGUAAUACAGAGGGUGCAAGCGUUAAUCGGAUUUACUGGGCGUAAAGCGUGCGUAGGCGGCUAAUUGAGUCGGAUGUGAAAUCCCCGAGCUUAACUUGGGAAUUGCAUUCGAUACUGGUUAGCUAGAGUGUGGGAGAGGAUGGUAGAAUUCCAGGUGUAGCGGUGAAAUGCGUAGAGAUCUGGAGGAAUACCGAUGGCGAAGGCAGCCAUCUGGCCUAACACUGACGCUGAGGUACGAAAGCAUGGGGAGCAAACAGG